rnacentral:rRNA from 1 species
CGAAGGGGGCGAGCGUUGUUCGGAAUCACUGGGCGUAAAGCGUGCGUAGGUGGCGAGGAAAGUUAGGAGUGAAAGCCCAGGGCUCAACCUUGGAAUUGCUCUUAAAACUCCCUUGCUCGAAUCUCGGAGAGGAUAGCGGAAUUGUCAGUGUAGCAGUGAAAUGCGUAGAUAUUGACAGGAACACCAGUGGCGUAAGCGGCUAUCUGGACGAGUAUUGACACUGAGGCACGAAAGCGUGGGGAUCAAACAGGAUUAGAUACCCUGGUAGUCCACGCCGUAAACGAUGUGUGUUUGUCGCUGGGAGGUUUACCUCUCGGUGACGGAGCUAACGCGUUAAGCACACCGCCUGGGAAGUACGGUCGCAAGAUUA